rnacentral:misc_RNA from 1 species
AUUCCAGAAUUUUCCAGAAAUAAAGAUUACUUCUUCCUCUUCCUAAGUUCUCUCUUUCUUCCUGAAACUGUGAAGUUGGCAGAGCUGGAAGAGCAGCUGAGAUUUCUCCAAUAAGACUCCAGGAAAACUGCCACAGAUCCCAGAGGAGAGAUUCAAGACUUGAGGCAAGGAUUAAGAGAGGAGAUAAAGCAAUCAGCAAAGGACAACAAGAAUACCAUAUUGGAUGACUUGCGAUCCUUAAUCACCCAUUCAAUGUGGGAUAAAUGAAAAGGAAUCAUGAAUGGGAAAGGAGAGACUGUUGCAGGGGAAAACAGAGCAAUUGGGAGAAGCGGAAUUCUUCUCAAACCAAAGGAAUGCUUGAAUCCUCAGGGCAGCUCUGGAUCUUCUUCAAAAAUGGAAGGCAUGUCUAAGAUGUUGCCAAAAAUAGAGUUAGUCACUUUGGAGGGAAAAGACCUAGGUCUUGGGUAAAGAAAUGUGAAAAAUGCUUCAAAG